rnacentral:rRNA from 1 species
CUGGCAGUAAACGAUGAGUGCUAGGUGUGGGUGGGUCAAACCAUCCGUGCCGCAGCUAACGCAUUAAGCACUCCGCCUGGGGAGUACGGUCGCAAGAUUGAAACUCAAAGGAAUUGACGGGGGCCCGCACAAGCGGUGGAGCACGUGGUUUAAUUCGAUGCAAACCGAAGAACCUUACCUGGGCUUGACAUAUAGGUGGUAUUGAUCUGAAAGGUGAGAGACCAUAUUUUAGGAUAUGGAGCCUAAACAGGUGC